rnacentral:lncRNA from 1 species
CCCAUCUCAGACCUGUGGACCCAGAGUUUCUGAGCGCUCCUGGUGAUGUUGCUGCAUAUCAGAGGCAUAUGGUCUGAAGUCAGCAGGCCACCGCUCCACAGGAGGGUGCCACACAGUAGGAGUGCGGGCUCCGGCUGAGAUAAUCCUGGCUUUGAAUCCCUGCCCUACCAUUGUUGGCACAGGAACUCAGGCAAAUCACUGAGCCCCUCGGAGCGUCAGUUUCCUUGUUUAUGAAAUAGGGAUGAUGCCGAUUCCUUCCCCAGAGGAUUGUGAGGAUUCAGUAGGAAAGUACCUUUGAGGCACCCAGUCCCUUGCACAAAGUAAGUGCUCAGUGAACAUUUGCUGCGGCUGCUGUGACUUUGCCGGGUUAUUCCACUGGCUUGUCAUAGGAGUCCACUUCUUCCGUCUCUGUGGGAGGUAAGACCAAAGAACCUGGGAGAACUAUUAGAGCAAGAAAAGAUUGUCCUCUUCUCGCAAGGGUGCACUCAUCUUUUCUCAUUACCCUCGUUUUCCCAAUGACAGCGUCAUCGGUUAUCUCGCAAAGAACUCAACAGACCUCCAGUCAGAUGCCAGCCAGCUCUACGGCCCCUUCCUCCCAGGAGACAGUGCAGCCCACGAGCCCGGCAACGGCAUUGAGAACACCUACCCUGCCAGAGACCAUGAGCUCCAGCCCCACAGCAGCAUCAACUACCCACCGAUACCCCAAAACACCUUCUCCCACUGUGGCUCAUGAGAGUAACUGGGCAAAGUGUGAGGAUCUUGAGACACAGACACAGAGUGAGAAGCAGCUCAUCCUGAACCUCACAGGAAACACCCUCUGUGCAGGGGGCACUUCGGAUGAGAAAUUGAUCUCACUGAUAUGCCGAGCAGUCAAAGCCACCUUCAACCCAGCCCAAGAUGAGUGCGGCAUACGGCUGGCACCUGUUCCAGGAAGUCAGACCGUGGUCGUCAAAGAAAUCACUAUUCACACUAAGCUCCCUGCCAAGGAUGUGUACGAGCGGCUGAAGGACAAAUGGGAUGAACUAAAGGAGAGGCAGGGGUCAGUGACAUGAAGCUAGGGGACCAGGGGCCACCGGAGGAGGCCGAGGACCGCUUCAGCAUGCCCCUCAUCAUCACCAUCGUCUGCAUGGCGUCAUUCCUGCUCCUCGUGGCGGCCCUCUAUGGCUGCUGCCACCAGCGCCUCUCCCAGAGGAAGGACCAGGUAAGCAGCUGUUUGCAGCCACACAGGGGAAGCAGCCCAGGUCACCAGAGGAACCCUCCCCUUGUGA